UACGUAGGGGCCUAGCGUUGUCCGGAAUCAUUGGGCGUAAAGAGCGUGUAGGCGGCUCGAUAAGUCUGCUGUGAAAGUCCAGGGCUCAACCCUGGAAGGCCGGUGGAAACUGUCGGGUUAGAGUCCGGAAGAGGCGAGUGGAAUUCCCGGUGUAGCGGUGAAAUGCGCAGAUAUCGGGAGGAACACCAAUGGCGAAGGCGGCUCUCUGGGACGGUACUGACGCGUGAGACGCGAAAGCGUGGGGAGCGAACGAGG
rnacentral:rRNA from 1 species